GGGUUGUGAGGUUAAGCGACUAAGCGUACACGGUGGAUGCCCUGGCAGUCAGAGGCGAUGAAGGGCGUGCUAAUCUGCGAUAAGCGCCGGUAAGGUGAUAUGAACCGUUAUAACCGGCGAUACCCGAAUGGGGAAACCCAGUGUGAUUCGUCACACUAUCAUUAACUGAAUCCAUAGGUUAAUGAGGCGAACCGGGGGAACUGAAACAUCUAAGUACCCCGAGGAAAAGAAAUCAACCGAGAUUCCCCCAGUAGCGGCGAGCGAACGGGGAGGAGCCCAGAGCCUGAAUCAGCAUGUGUGUUAGUGGAAGCGUCUGGAAAGGCGCGCGAUACAGGGUGACAGCCCCGUACACAAAAGCGCAUGUGCUGUGAGCUCGAUGAGUAGGGCGGGACACGUGGUAUCCUGUCUGAAUAUGGGGGGACCAUCCUCCAAGGCUAAAUACUCCUGACUGACCGAUAGUGAACCAGUACCGUGAGGGAAAGGCGAAAAGAACCCCGGCGAGGGGAGUGAAAAAGAACCUGAAACCGUGUACGUACAAGCAGUGGGAGCACCCUUCGGGGUGUGACUGCGUACCUUUUGUAUAAUGGGUCAGCGACUUAUAUUCUGUAGCAAGGUUAACCGUAUAGGGGAGCCGGAGGGAAACCGAGUCUUAAUUGGGCGUUAAGUUGCAGGGUAUAGACCCGAAACCCGGUGAUCUAGCCAUGGGCAGGUUGAAGGUUGGGUAACACUAACUGGAGGACCGAACCGACUAAUGUUGAAAAAUUAGCGGAUGACCUGUGGCUGGGGGUGAAAGGCCAAUCAAACCGGGAGAUAGCUGGUUCUCCCCGAAAGCUAUUUAGGUAGCGCCUCGUGAAUUCAUCUCCGGGGGUAGAGCACUGUUUCGGCUAGGGGGCCAUCCCGGCUUACCAACCCGAUGCAAACUGCGAAUACCGGAGAAUGUUAUCACGGGAGACACACGGCGGGUGCUAACGUCCGUCGUGAAGAGGGAAACAACCCAGACCGCCAGCUAAGGUCCCAAAGUCAUGGUUAAGUGGGAAACGAUGUGGGAAGGCCCAGACAGCCAGGAUGUUGGCUUAGAAGCAGCCAUCAUUUAAAGAAAGCGUAAUAGCUCACUGGUCGAGUCGGCCUGCGCGGAAGAUGUAACGGGGCUAAACCAUGCACCGAAGCUGCGGCAGCGAACGUAUCACCCAAGACAACUUUACGGAGUUGACGAUUGACGGAGCGAAGCGACGUCAAAGCGUUCAUUAAAGUCGAGUUGGCUUAGGGAUACGUUCGUUGGGUAGGGGAGCGUUCUGUAAGCCUGUGAAGGUGUGUCGUGAGGCAUGCUGGAGGUAUCAGAAGUGCGAAUGCUGACAUAAGUAACGAUAAAGCGGGUGAAAAGCCCGCUCGCCGGAAGACCAAGGGUUCCUGUCCAACGUUAAUCGGGGCAGGGUGAGUCGACCCCUAAGGCGAGGCCGAAAGGCGUAGUCGAUGGGAAACGGGUUAAUAUUCCCGUACUUGGUGUUACUGCGAAGGGGGGACGGAGAAGGCUAUGUUGGCCGGGCGACGGUUGUCCCGGUUUAAGCGUGUAGGUGUGUGUUCCAGGUAAAUCCGGUUCACUUUAACACUGAGGCGUGACGACGAGGCACUACGGUGCUGAAGCAACAAAUGCCCUGCUUCCAGGAAAAGCCUCUAAGCAUCAGGUAACA
rnacentral:rRNA from 1 species